AUAUAAAAAUUUGCCGAAUUCCUUUAAAUUAUUUUUAAAUAAAUUUUAUUUUUAUUUUUUUUUUCAUAUACUAAUUUUAUCAUUAUAACUAAUUUUUUUUUUUAUUAUAAAUUUUUUUUUUAUAUAAAUUUAAAUAUUAAAUUAAAUUUUAUUUUAAUUAAAAUUAUUUAUAAUAAAUUAUAAUUUUUAAACAAUAUAAAUUUUAAAAAUUUUAAUCAUUAAGUUUAAUUUUAUUAUAAAUAUUUAAAUUAAAGCUUAUCCCCUAAAAUAUUAAAUAUUAAAUUUUUAUAAUUAAUUUAAAAAAUUAUAAAAUUAUUUAAAUUUAAAAUUAAAUUUUUUUCUAAAAAAACUAGAUAUAUUUAAAAACGAUUAACAUUUCAUUUCUAAUUAAUUAUUAAAAAUAAUUAUACAACAUUAACUUUAUUAAUUAAUUAACUCUUUUAAAUUCGAGAUUUAUUUAAAUAAAUUAUUUUUAUUUAAUAAACUCUGAUACACAAGAUACAAUAAAUUAAAUUUACUUUUAAAUUAAUUAAUUUCACAUAUUUAUAAUUUCCUUUACAGUAAUAUUUCACUAUAAACUUAUUAAUUUUUUCUAUUAAAAAUACUUAAACCCCCAUUUUUUCUUUUUAAUAUUAAAAAUUUUUUUAUUAAACUUACAUCAUUAAUUUAACCCC
rnacentral:rRNA from 1 species